rfam:Otolemur garnettii contig151329, whole genome shotgun sequence.
GCCUUUUUUCCCCAGACUUGUUGGCGUAGGCUACAGAGAAGCCUUCAAGCUCUGAGGGAAAGGGC